UUGGCCCUGGAUCAAGGCCAGUAGUUUACUGAAGCUGUUGCUUUCAAGUAGGAACCUAAAGAAAUGUCUUUUUCUAUGGUCAGUUGGCCAUGUCAGAAAUUUGUAAUUCAUUAGAAACAUCUGAAAAAAAAAUUU